AACGCAAGUUGCGCCCGAAGCCUUCUGGCCGAGGGCACGUCUGCCUGGGUGUCACGCAACGUCGCCGCCAACCCCACCCCUAGGGGCGGGCAGUUGGGGGCGGACUUUGGCCUCCCGUGCGCCUCGGCGCGCGGAUGGCCUAAAUUUCAGCUCCUGGCGAGGAUCGCCACGACAAGCGGUGGUUUUUUGAACUAAGGACCUCGGGUGUUGUCGUGCGGCCUCCCGGAGGGAACGGACCCUGUGCGCUCGCGCACCAUCCUAUCGAGACCCCAGGUCAGUCGGGAACACCCGCUGAAUUUAA
rnacentral:misc_RNA from 1 species